GCAGGGCACAUGUAUUUCUGCUGUGAGGUUUUGAUCUCCCAGUGUUUCUGGAAUGCCUGUGGCUCCUGUCCGGCUGCUGCCUGCACUGGGAAGGGGCUCUGAGGAGGAGCACGGGGAAGGACCCUGGCUGCCUGGCCCCAGCAGCGAGGAGAGGUCUAGCCGUUGCAGGGUCUUCCCGCAGCCAAAUGAAUUUGCCUUGCUGGCAGUGUGGGAGCGUGGAGAAAGAGAGUAUUCAGCGAGGCUCCUUCCCCUGUGCAUCAUAACAAGACGUUAAUUUGAGGUUUUUGCAGAAGACAGAGUUGUAGCUGUUUUAUUUGGGGGUGGGUGGAGGCACUGCAUCCAGGAAACACUGUCCCCCGGGAGAUAAGGGAGACCUGGCCACCCACAGCCCCGGCUCGCCAGGAAUCCAGCUUCCAUAUGUACAGAGUUGGUGCCAAAAGUGUUGUUCCCAUAGUCAGCAGGCCAUCCCCACCCCCCCAUCUUCUCUGCCUUCUCCCUCCUCCUCUCCCUAUAACCAGCUGACUUUUUUCACAACCAGGAAACAAUCAAAUAACCUCUUAAGCUGCUUCAGCUCCUCCUCCCCAACGCGCCAUCUCUCCCAGUAAAGGAUGCUGUCAGUACUCCCAAAGCCUGAUGUACUGUGCAGUGCAAAGCUGUUAUUCCAGCCUCCCAGUGGGGAAUACGCUCUGGGCUGCAAAUACCUGUGUUUCGUUAAGUAAAUAAUCACACAAGAUAAAAUAUCCAUCUUGACGUUAAAAUGAAGGGAGGGGAGCGAGAAUGCAGACCAGACAGCAGCCCUGAAUUGCUGUUGUGGGUACCCUUAGGUGGUUGGCAGUUCCAUAUGUGCCUGCCCCUUCUCCUGCAGGUAGAUGGUAAUGCUUGCGCCCACAGGAGGACAAUUAAAUGCAGAGAGCCUGUAGAGGGGUUUGUGGGGGGAGUGUUGCAUUUAGCUUUUAAAAUAGCUUUCAGAAAGAGAAUAGCUGGUAAAUACAUACAGUGCAACUCAGUUGGGAAAGGCUUGGAAACUGGCCAGCAGUGGUGUUCCAGUCUUACAGAGGAGCAAGGAAGAGAAAGGUUGACGACCGCAGGGGAGGGAGAGCUGUUACCAACCAUAUGGGAGAUGUUCUGUGCCCCCAUGGGUGCUAGUGGAUGCUGGGCCCUGGAGGAAAGCUGACCCCCACUGAAGCACAGCAUGGAGGGAAGCCCAGCUCCUGUGUGAAGCCUCUGCUGCUUUCCCAGGGCCACUGAACAAGUUUACGUUGGAGCCAGGCGUUGAUCCCAAGUGUCCUGGCUUGCUGCCUGCGUGCUGUAGCCUGUAGUGCUGCUGCCUCCCCUGCAGUGAGCUCUCCGACAUUUUAUUGCUCACCUGUUUGGGAGACUUCACACAUUCAGCGCUGAGGCUUAUAAACCUACUGAGAAAAGAGAGGAAGGGAAAAGGUGAAGGAGGAGUUCAGCCAAGAGUGAAAUACUCGGGAGGUGUUUGAGCCUUGGGCUGGGCCUUGCCAGGGUUACCCAGAUCCAUCCCAGAUUACACGGGAGGCAGGCAAGGGAUCCCAGGAAAGCGCAGGCUGCCAGCAAAUGUCUGGAGGAUAGAGGCAUGUCAAGGACCCCCGAGAGUCAGCUGGCAAAUUUGAUGCACUGGCAAUCAUCCACAAUUUGGUAGUAAAACCCACCCUGGGGAGAAGCAUUUUGCCCCUGAGGGCCGUAAGAUCCCCAGUGGGGUCGUGACCUGUUUGCUGGAGGUCCUCAAAAGGUGACUGAGGAAUGCAUAUUGAGGUAUGUGAUACAGGAAUCACUAGCAGUAUCCUUCAUUCCACCAGGAAAAAAUGAAAAUUGGAAAGAUCUGAAAGCUUCUGCUUAAAGUGCAAAGCUUCCUGGCCAUGGAGUCCAGCUCUGCCACAGACUUCUAGCAUUAAAUUGGAGUGAGUCUCGUAACUACUCUGUAGUUACAGCUCUGCAUCCUGGUGCAUAGCUCACAACUCGCAUGUCUCAAAUACUUUGGGACUUCCAUGUGGAGAGUUUUGAAAUGGAAAAAUUCACUGUUACCAGCUAUUUGGAUAUAGAUUGGCAGCACACUGAAUCCAGUUCAUGGUGCCUUGUAAUACAAGGAUAUGUUGUGUUAAGAUGGAAGAGAGAACAGGAGGAAAUGGAAAACUGCUGCUCUGAUGCCAUUGAGUGCUCAAAUAUACACCUAGCAUUAAGGCACUGAAAUCAACCCUGCUGACAAGGCUCUACAAGUGAUUAAGAAAAUUCUAAUGAAAAAUUUGCCUCCUGGAAAACCUAAUUUUAUCCCAAAUAAAACCUUUGCAAGAAGAAAAAUAAAUAAUGUAUCAAACAAAAAACAGUCCUAAUGAAGCAGUGCCGCACAGUUGGAAAUUUCCGAUAUGAUUUGUCAAAAUGAAUAUUAACAUUCUCUUUUUUUUUGUAACUUCAUCGCUUGUUUUCUGUUACAAUAUCGUAAUGAAGUAAAGGCACUAUGCAAAGGUGCUUUUUUUAAAGCAAG